rnacentral:rRNA from 1 species
GACAGAGGGUGCAAACGUUGUUCGGAAUUACUGGGCGUAAAGCGCGUGUAGGCGGUCUGCUAAGUCGGGUGUGAAAGCCCCGGGCUCAACCCGGGAAGUGCACUCGAAACUGGCAGGCUAGAGUAUCGGAGAGGUUGGUGGAAUUCUCGGUGUAGAGGUGAAAUUCGUAGAUAUCGAGAGGAACACCGGUGGCGAAGGCGGCCAACUGGACGAAUACUGACGCUGAGACUCGAAAGCGUGGGGAGCAAACGGG